AAAAAAUUCUGGUAAAAUUGUUCCACAUUGUGACAAUAAAAAAAAGAUUCUAUUUGCAAUGACUGUUACUUUGUAGUAAAGACCAUCUUCUUUUUUGCUGUUGAAAUUUACUUCUAAAUCUAUUUAUCAAUAUUCAAAUUUAAUAAAAGAAAAUAAUAUAUCUAGUUUAACAAUAGCACACAACUGCUUAUAGGAAAAAUUAAAUAGAUAUCACUGAAAAUUGAACAUACAUAAAUUAGGUACACAAAGUUCAUUUAUAUACCGAUGCAUACACUAAUGGAAUGAUUUUCAUUUACGGAGAUCAUGUCUAUCAUGUUCCCAAGCUAUCACAAACAAUGAUUACAUUUUGGGAAACCCAUACAAACACUUCUAGUAUAUGACCCCUUUCAAAUGGAUUCCCCUGUAACAUAUGUGCAGGAAAAUCUGAACCAGACAGAUGUAAAAAGUCUACUGAUAUUUCUGUUGAUGGCUGACAUUUUAUCUUAUUUUUCAAACCUCCAUAGUAAAACUGUAUACAUUUUCUCUGAUACAAUAUGCAGCAUGUGUUUUAAGACUCCAAACAAAACUGCAGGCUUUACCCUACAGAGUAUCUACCAGUAAUAGCCACAGACUUAAUGAAUCCAUUUAUUGACAACUCAUGAGUCUAUUGGAGCUCUUUCAUCUGUAAGCUUACAUUGCAGGACAUUGGAAAUACAAUAGAUGAUUUUAUUUGAUCGAUAUGCUCUCUUAUAUCAACUGAUAUGUUUUAUACAAUAUAUUGUUUUGAUGGCCGUUCCUUUGAUGCUUCAGUGAACAGCGGACAUAACCAACCUAAUGGAUGACCU
rnacentral:lncRNA from 1 species